rnacentral:rRNA from 1 species
UAGGGAAUCUUCGGCAAUGGACGAAAGUCUGACCGAGCAACGCCGCGUGAGUGAAGAAGGUUUUCGGAUCGUAAAACUCUGUUGGUAGAGAAGAACGUUGGUGAGAGUGGAAAGCUCAUCAAGUGACGGUAACUACCCNGAAAGGGACGGCUAACUACGUGCCAC